GCGAGUGUAGUUUAGUGGUAAAACCUCAGCCUUCCAAGCUGAUGAUGAGGGUUCGAUUCCCUUCACUCGCUCCA
rnacentral:tRNA from 7 species